rfam:Gaeumannomyces graminis var. tritici R3-111a-1 unplaced genomic scaffold supercont2.1, whole genome shotgun sequence.
GCUGGAAUGGAGUAGUGGUUAACUCGUUGCCCUCCCACUUCUACGUAGAAGGCAGAGACCCGGGUUCGAAUCCCGAUUUCAGCA